rnacentral:tRNA from 1 species
GGGAAUGUGACUUAGUGGUAGAGUGCUUGCCUAACAUGCAUUAAGGCUUGGGUUCUAUUCCACAAUACCA